rnacentral:misc_RNA from 1 species
UUCAAGCACAGAGACCCUUGGAGC